GUGCUUGCUUUGGCAGCACAUAUGCUAAAAUUGGAACGGUACAGAGAUGAUUAGCAUGGCCCCUGCGCAGGGAUGGCAUGCAAAUUCGUGAAGCGUUCCAUAUUAUG
ensembl:snRNA U6 U6 spliceosomal RNA